rnacentral:sRNA from 1 species
UCCAAAUUCUUCCGCAGCCUCACACCAGU